AGGCAGGACCCUCACGUGGUCAGGCAGCGUGGGACUAUCUCCAGUAGUCGCUCCAGGAAGCGUGCAAGUGGUGUACGAAGUUCGAUCUGUGCAUCUUUCUAGUUAGGAACUGAGUAAUUUCUUCUACUCAACUGUACUUGUAAUCUAAAUUCAGUAGAUGCUCUGUAUCGCCCUGAUAGAUUUUACUUGUGAGGCCGGAGGCCACUUUAGUGACUUGUAAAAUUGUGAAAGCAUGCUGUUGGUUGGGAUUUU